GGAGGCGGGCAUGAACGGGAGAGUAACACGUGGGACCUAUUUCAAAAGAUCGGAACAACCAAGGGAAACUUUGGCUAAUACCGGAUCCUUCCGAAAGGAGAAAGAUUUAUCGCUGAAGGAUCGGCCCGCGUCUGAUUAGCUAGUUGGUGAGGUAAAGGCUCACCAAGGCAAUGAUCGGUAGCCGGCCUGAGAGGGCACACGGCCACACUGGCACUGAAACACGGGCCAGACUCCUACGGGAGGCAGCAGUGGGGAAUCUUGCACAAUGGGGGAAACCCUGAUGCAGCGACGCCGCGUGAGUGAUGAAGCCCUUCGGGGUGUAAAGCUCUUUCGGCAGGGACGAUAAUGACGGUACCUGAAGAAGAAGCUGCGGCUAACUACGUGCCAGCAGCCGCGGUAA
rnacentral:rRNA from 1 species